AGCCCAGGAGGGCAGCGUGAUGGCUCCUGAGGCUCCUCGAUUGAGCCUGGUUUGCUUUUCCUUCUACUUCAGUCAUUUUCUUCUUGCCUUGAGAAGGUCCCAAAGCUCUUCAAUGCAAGCUGGCAACUUUCAAAUAGAUGUCUUCCAAGGGAAGCAAGACAAUUCUUGGAUAUGGUACUGUUAGGGCUUAUGUCUAAAUGUGCCCCCAAAGCCUCAUGUGGUCAUAGGUGGGGUCAUUUUCAAUCCAGCUGCCCACAGGUCUCACUCCGUACUGCAUCUUGCUCCUGCGGGUCACACCUGCUCCCGUGAAUGGCUUGCUUUGACGCCCUCAGAACAGUGUUCAAAGCACUGGGUUUGCUUUCAGUUCCCACCCCACACAUUGGUCCUUGGCCCUCCGUGAGUAGUGUUCAGAUGGACCAUUUUUUUUUUUUUUUUUUGAGACAGGGUCUCACUUCCAGAGGCGGCUGGGUCUAGGGUGUGCGCUGCUGGGAUCAAGGAUGUGACACUGAGAUUGAUUUAUGGUGCGAUGCUAGGGUUAAGGAUGUGAGUGGUACAUGCCCGAAGGGUGGGUAGCCUGGAGAGGAUUUAAGGGAGAGAAAGAGGGCUGCUCCUGUCUCCACUUGCCAUGUGUCACUUGCUGUUUGCUGCCUGCUGUGUCACCCUGCCUUGGAGCCAGUCAAUUAUGAGCUGGAAUCUCUGUAAACUGUGAGCUCAGUAAUGCGCUCCUCCUUUAAUUUGGGCGGGGUCAGGUAUUUUAGCAACAUGAAAAGUCACUAAGGGUUUCCUCUCCUGCAAGACCUCACAAUGCUGCAAAGACUGCAUGAACUACGCCAUGCACAAAUCUUGGCAGUCCCCAGCACACGGUAAACGCUGAUACCGCAGUAGCUGUUAUCCAUGGUCAGGAAGAAGACACACACAAGAUGCGUAAAAAACAUCAAUGGUUAAACCUAGAUUCACGCUCAAAGGAAGAAGCAGGCAUUGAAGCUCUAGAUGAAAAAGAAGGGACCCGAACACUAAGGACUCGUCUCCAAGGCUGCCAGCUGGCUGUGCGUUCCUGAUGUUCAGUGUGAGGGGCAAAGCCCAGACUCGGGGUGUACGCAUGGGUCUUUCCGGCCCCCACAUCCAGGAAGGCGACCACCACCGACCAAGUCUUUUUCAACUACAGUCAAGCUCCUAACAGACCUCGUGAAGCAGGCGGGAUCGGUCACCUGAGAGACACAACCCCCGCACUCACAGUGCAGCCAGUCAGCUCUUCACAAAAGCAGCCAAAACCAGAAUAAGAACUCCUCACUAGUAUGACACAGGACAGGUGACCUUAUAAAGAAAACAGCUAAGUUACAUGGCAAAAAGCAGAAGCCCUCAAAAAUGGACAAAGCCAUGUCUGGUUAUUGAUGGGAAAAUUAAAUCCCUUUCCUGGUUGUAGACAAAUGCAGUUCCCACCUACACUUGAGCACACUUCUAAGAAUCCAAAGCCUGAAAUUUGUUUUGAGAAUCUAUGAACUAUCGAAGAGAAAAGGUAAUAAGGCAGAGUUGAUCCUCCCAGACAUUAAAAAAAACAUACUAUAUCAAUAAUCAAAAGCAUAGGACUUGCUCAAAACAAGAAACAAAG